rnacentral:rRNA from 1 species
UAGGGAAUCUUCGGCAAUGGGGGGAACCCUGACCGAGCAACGCCGCGUGAGUGAAGAAGGUUUUCGGAUCGUAAAGCUCUGUUGUUAAGGAAGAACGAGUGUGAGAAUGGAAAGUUCAUACUGUGACGGUACUUAAUCAGAAAGGGACGGCUAACUACGUGCCAGCAGCCGCGGUAAUACGUAGGUCCCGAGCGUUGUCCGGAUUUAUUGGGCGUAAAGCGAGCGCAGGCGGUUAGAUAAGUCUGAAGUUAAAGGCAGUGGCUCAACCAUUGUAGGCUUUGGAAACUGUUUAACUUGAGUGCAGAAGGGGAGAGUGGAAUUCCAUGUGUAGCGGUGAAAUGCGUAGAUAUAUGGAGGAACACCGGUGGCGAAAGCGGCUCUCUGGUCUGUAACUGACGCUGAGGCUCGAAAGCGUGGGGAGCGAACAGG